UACGUAGGGUGCAAGCGUUGUCCGGAAUUAUUGGGCGUAAAGAGCUCGUAGGCGGCUUGUUGCGUCAGCUGUGAAAAACCCGCAGCUCAACUGUGGGCUUGCAGCUGAUACGGGCAGGCUUGAGUUCGGUAGGGGAGACUGGAAUUCCUGGAUGUAGCGGUGAAAUGACUGCAGAUAUCAGGAGGAACACCAAUGGCGAAGGCAGCUCGCUGGGACGUGACUGACGCUGAGACGCGAAAGCGUGGGAGCAAACAGG
rnacentral:rRNA from 1 species